rnacentral:rRNA from 1 species
CAGCAGCCGCGGGAAUACGUAGGGUGCGAGCGUUAAUCGGAUUUACUGGGCGUAAAGCGUGCGUAGGCGGCUUCUUAAGUCGGAUGUGAAAUCCCUGAGCUUAACUUAGGAAUUGCAUUCGAUACUGGGAAGCUAGAGUAUGGGAGAGGAUGGUAGAAUUCCAGGUGUAGCGGUGAAAUGCGUAGAGAUCUGGAGGAAUACCGAUGGCGAAGGCAGCCAUCUGGCCUAAUACUGACGCUGAGGUACGAAAGCAUGGGGAGCAAACAGGAUUAGAUACCCCGGUAGUCCCUGUCUCUUAUAC